CGACAGAACGACGAUUUAGUAGAAGGAUUACGUGUAUACAAAAACGAUGAGGAAACAGACCAUUACUCUGUGCUUAGUGGCAGCCAUACUUAGUGUAACCCUGGCAAAAGACGAAACGGAGCAGAAGCAAAGGAGACAGUUUGCUUUUUUGCUUGAAUCCUUGCUCGGAGGGCUUUUGCAGGAACUGCAGCUGAAACUGCAAUAGGAGCAAGUUUGGGCGCUGGUCUUGCUGCAGGAACUGCAGCUGAAACAAUAGGAGCUGGUCUGGGCGUAGCCGCUGGGACUGGUCUUGCAGCAGCAGGUAUCGAGUCAGCCAUACACCAUCACCCUCACACGGCAGUAAAACCAACACUUGCAGGUAGGAUGCCAUUCAUAGCGAUAGAAAAUUAUUUGCGUCGUUUUAGAGUAAAAAGUUACGACUGCUCAUUGAAUCCUUAGAUAUUCAAGAAAAACAUAUUCACAAGUAACCAAUUAUACCUGUAUAAUGUAUAAACCAUAGCAAAUAAUCACAAUUCAAUAAAAUAUCAGUAUUAUUAAAUAUCACGUUACAGUGGUCAAGCCUAUUGACCAUACUGGUACUCUGACUGGUGUCCAGACGGUAGUUGUAGCGGCUCCACCGCUGAAUUUAACUCUGUGUGAAAGUACAGGCUACUGCACUUCCGGUAAAUGCGACCUAGGAAAUCACCUAUUUCUUGGGAACGUGUUAUGCGUCGGGAGCCGAAAAUGCUGCAUACCAAAUGGUACUUGUGGUGUUGAGGCAAGGAUUGGACAACUCGAAGUUACAGGUCCCGGGAAGUGUCGACUUCCUGUUACCGACCACGUGUGUCAUGAUGACGAGAAAGUGACCACUGACCUGACCUGUAAUUCUGGAUACACCUGCUGUGUAGAUAAAAACUGUAAGUGUAAUGGCUUAAUGAACUUUUUAGUCUUUAUUGAUGAGAGUGUCCGGGUCAAAAAUGAUUACCAAAUUUACUAGAAAUUCACAUAGUUGUGAUAUAUUCCAUCCAUUUAAUUAGGUGUUCAUAAUAGAAUGUUUCUUUCGUUUUCCUUUCCAUUGUAUCAUGUACUUAUUAUAUUGUCUACGUUGAUUUGAUCGUCAUGUGGCACACUAAAGUGAAUCGACUUGUCUAGGCGAUUGCCUCAUACACAUUUGACAAGUGUAAAUAUGCUAUACUUGUCAUUUAUCUGAUGAAGGUGACAGUAC